rnacentral:rRNA from 1 species
AAACGUGUGCUAAUACCGUAUACGCCCUAAGGGGGAAAGAUUUUAUUGGAGAGAGAUGAGCCCGCGUUGGAUUAGCUAGUUGGUGGGGUAAAGGCCUACCAAGGCGACGAUCCAUAGCUGGUCUGAGAGGACGAUCAGCCACACUGGGACUGAGACACGGCCCAGACUCCUACGGGAGGCAGCAGUGGGGAAUAUUGGACAAUGGGGGCAACCCUGAUCCAGCCAUGCCGCGUGAGUGAAGAAGGCCUUAGGGUUGUAAAGCUCUUUCGCCGGAGAAGAUAAUGACGGUAUUCGGAGAAGAAGCCCCGGCUAACUUCGUGCCAGCAGCCGCGGUAAUACGAGGGGGGCGAGCGUUGUUCGGAAUAACUGGGCGUAAAGGGCGCGUAGGCGGGCGAUUAAGUUAGAGGUGAAAUCCCAGGGCUCAACCUUGGAACGGCCUUUAAUACUGAUUGUCUUGAGUUUAGGAGAGGUGAGUGGAAUUCCGAGUGGAGAGGUGAAAUUCGUAGAUAU